rnacentral:rRNA from 1 species
UACGUAGGUGGCAAGCGUUGUCCGGAUUUACUGGGCGUAAAGAGCGCGCAGGCGGUCGUUCAAGUCGCGUGUGAAAGCCCCCGGCUCAACUGGGGAGGGUCACGCGAUACUGAUCGACUCGAAGGCAGGAGAGGGUAGUGGAAUUUCCGGUGUAGCGGUGAAAUGCGUAGAUAUCGGAAGGAACAUCAGUGGCGAAAGCGACUUCCUGGACCAAUACUGACGCUCAUGCACGAAAGCGUGGGGAGCAAACAGG